AUUCCAUGGUGAGGACAAUCUGAAAUGUAUCCUUGGAAACGCUCCCAUGCUUCUGAAAUGGUUUCUGUCUUCUGAAAUGGUUUCUGUCUUCUGCUGUU
rnacentral:snoRNA from 1 species